UACUGGUGGCGAGCGGCGGACGGGUGAGUAAUGCCUAGGAAUCUGCCUGGUAGUGGGGGAUAACGCUCGGAAACGGACGCUAAUACCGCAUACGUCCUACGGGAGAAAGCAGGGGACCUUCGGGCCUUGCGCUAUCAGAUGAGCCUAGGUCGGAUUAGCUAGUUGGUGAGGUAAUGGCUCACCAAGGCGACGAUCCGUAACUGGUCUGAGAGGAUGAUCAGUCACACUGGAACUGAGACACGGUCCAGACUCCUACGGGAGGCAGCAGUGGGGAAUAUUGGACAAUGGGCGAAAGCCUGAUCCAGCCAUGCCGCGUGUGUGAAGAAGGUCUUCGGAUUGUAAAGCACUUUAAGUUGGGAGGAAGGGCAGUUACCUAAUACGUGAUUGUUUUGACGUUACCGACAGAAUAAGCACCGGCUAACUCUGUGCCAGCAGCCGCGGUAAUACAGAGGGUGCAAGCGUUAAUCGGAAUUACUGGGCGUAAAGCGCGCGUAGGUGGUUUGUUAAGUUGGAUGUGAAAUCCCCGGGCUCAACCUGGGAACUGCAUCCAAAACUGGCAAGCUAGAGUAUGGUAGAGGGUGGUGGAAUUUCCUGUGUAGCGGUGAAAUG
rnacentral:rRNA from 1 species